rnacentral:pre_miRNA from 1 species
CUUCUACUCCCUCCGUCCGGAACUACUUGUCAUCAAAACGGAUGAAAUGAAUGUAUCUAGAACUAAAAUACAUCUAGAUACAUCCAUUUCAAUGACAAGUAUUUCCGGACGGAGGGAGUAAUAU